rnacentral:ncRNA from 1 species
UCAAGGGGUGCUUUUCAUAAUUUGAAAUUCUGGAUUAUGAAAGGCUGAGAUGAUACCCUCAGAACCUGAUGCGGGUAAUGCCGCCGUAGGGAAUGGC